rnacentral:rRNA from 1 species
GACGAACGCUGGCGGCGUGCUUAACACAUGCAAGUCGAACGAUGAUCCGGUGCUUGCACCGGGGAUUAGUGGCGAACGGCUGAGUAACACGUGAGUAACCUGCCCUUGACUCUGGGAUAAGCCUGGGAAACCGGGUCUAAUACCGGAUAUGACUUCCCGCCGCAUGGUGGGGGGUGGAAAGAUUUUUUGGUUUUGGAUGGACUCGCGGCCUAUCAGCUUGUUGGGGGGGUAAUGGCCUACCAAGGCGACGACGGGUAGCCGGCCUGAGAGGGCGACCGGCCACACUGGGACUGGGACACGGCCCAGACUCCUACGGGAGGCAGCAGUGGGGAAUAUUGCGCAAUGGGCGAAAGCCUGACGCAGCGACGCCGCGUGAGGGACGACGGCCUUCGGGUUGUAAACCUCUUUCAGCAGGGACGAAGCGAAAGUGACGGUACCUGCAGAAGAAGCACCGGCCAACUACGUGCCAGCCGCCGCGGUAAUAC